UGGGGCGUCGCCAAGCGGUAAGGCAUCGGACUUUGACUCCGACACCCGCAGGUUCGAAUCCUGCCGCCCCAG
rnacentral:tRNA from 1 species